rnacentral:snRNA from 1 species
GCUUUUGCGCAGCAGCAGUAUCAUAGCCAGUGAGGUUUAUCUGAGGCGGAUUAUUGCUCAUUGAAAACUUUUCCCAGUUUACUGCAACCUGGGAUUGGGUUUGCAGCUGGGACCGUUAAAAUCAAUAUUUUG